GUUCGAAUAGUGUAGUGGUUAUCACGCGUUGCUCACAUCUUUGAGCCUUUGAUCCGACGAGGUCCCCGGUUCGAUCCCGGGUUCGAACA